rnacentral:rRNA from 1 species
AUGAACGCUGGCGGCGUGCCUAAUACAUGCAAGUCGAGCGAACAGACGAGGAGCUUGCUCCUCUGACGUUCGCGGCGGACGGGUGAGUAACACGUGGAUAACCUACCUAUAAGACUGGGAUAACUUCGGGAAACCGGAGCUAAUACCGGAUAAUAUAUUGAACCGCAUGGUUCAAUAGUGAAAGACGGUUUUGCUGUCACUUAUAGAUGGAUCCGCGCCGCAUUAGCUAGUUGGUAAGGUAACGGCUUACCAAGGCAACGAUGCGUAGCCGACCUGAGAGGGUGAUCGGCCACACUGGAACUGAGACACGGUCCAGACUCCUACGGGAGGCAGCAGUAGGGAAUCUUCCGCAAUGGGCGAAAGCCUGACGGAGCAACGCCGCGUGAGUGAUGAAGGUCUUCGGAUCGUAAAACUCUGUUAUUAGGGAAGAACAAAUGUGUAAGUAACUAUGCACGUCUUGACGGUACCUAAUCAGAAAGCCACGGCUAACUACGUG